rnacentral:rRNA from 1 species
GAUGAACGCUAGCGGCAGGCCUAACACAUGCAAGUCGAGGGAGAAGCCCUUCGGGGCAGAAACCGGCGCACGGGUGCGUAACGCGUAUGCAACCUACCUUUCACAGGGGGAUAGCCCGAAGAAAUUUGGAUUAAUACCCCAUAAUAUUAUUGGAUGGCAUCAUUUGAUAAUUAAAAUUACGAUGGUGAAAGAUGGGCAUGCGUCCUAUUAGCUAGUUGGAGUGGUAACGGCACCCCAAGGCUACGAUAGGUAGGGGUCCUGAGAGGGAGAUCCCCCACACUGGUACUGAGACAGGGACCAGACUCCUACGGGAGGCAGCAGUGAGGAAUAUUGGUCAAUGGUCGGAAGACUGAACCAGCCAUGCCGCGUGCAGGAAGAAUGCCUUAUGGGUUGUAAACUGCUUUUAUAUGGGAAGAAUAAGGAGUACGUGUACUUUGAAGACGGUACC